GCCGGGUGCGGUGGCUCACACCUGUAAUCCCAGCACUUUGGGAGGCCGAGGUGGGUGGAUCACCUGAGGUCAGGAGUCCGAGACCAGCCUGGCCAAUAUGGUGAAACCCCGUCUCUA
rfam:Pan troglodytes isolate Yerkes chimp pedigree #C0471 (Clint) chromosome 19, whole genome shotgun sequence.